UCGACUUUAAAAAUCGUGAGGGUUCAAGUCCCUCUAUCCCCAAUAAAAA
rnacentral:tRNA from 1 species